rnacentral:rRNA from 1 species
CCUACGGGAGGCAGCAGUAGGGAAUCUUCCGAAAUAGGCGCAAGCCUGAUGGAGCAACGCCGCGUGAGUGAACACGGCCUUCGGGUUGUAAAGAUGUGUGUGUCGGGACGAGGACCCGGGCUCAAUCCCGGGGGGGCCGGUACCGGCGGAGGAAGCCCCUGCUAAUUACGUUCCAGCAGCGGCGGUAAGAUGUAGGGGGCAAGCGUUGUCUGGAAUUACUGGGCGUAAAGGGCGUGUAGGCGUUUCGGCAAGUAGCGGUUUUCAGCCGCCGGCUCACCCGGCGGAGGGCGUCUAAACGUCCGAGCUGGAGGUCAGGAGAGGUGCACGGAAUUCCUAGGUGGACCGAGUGAAAGUGCGUAGAGAUCAGGAAGAACACCCGUGGCGAAGGCGGUGCACUGGCCUGGCCCUGACGCUGAGGCGCGACAGCGUGGGGAGCGAACGGGAUUAGAUACCCCGGUAGUCCACGCUGUAAACGAUGGAUACUAGGUGUCGCGGGGGUCCACCAGCCGGUGCCGGAGCUAAGCGCACUAAGUUCCCUGCCUG